rnacentral:rRNA from 1 species
AGUCUGGUGCCAGCAGCCGCGGUAAUUCCAGCUCCAAUAGUGUAUACUAAUGUUGCUGCAGUUAAAAAGCUCGUAGUUGGAUUUCGGUUAACAGAGGGAUAGUCUACAUUUUAUAUGUACGCACUGUCAAUUUGUUUCCUUCUUUUCAGUAAUUAGAUUUAUCCAGUUCUGAAUUAUUUACUUUGAAAAAAUUAGAGUGUUCAAAUCAGGCGUAUUUUGCCUUUGAAUAUAUUAGCAUGGGAUAAUGAAAUAAGACUUUUUGCCUUAUUCUCGUUGGUUUUUUGAGGCUAAAGUAAUGAUUAAUAGGGAUAGUUGGGGUCAUUAGUAUUAAAUUGUCAGAGGUGAAAUUCUAAGAUUAAUUUAAGACUGACUACUGCGAAAGCAUUUGACAAGGAUGUUUUCAUUAAUCAAGAACGAAAGUUGGGGGAUCGAAGAUGAUCAGAUACCGUCGUAGUCUCAACCAUAAACUAUGCCGACCAAGGAUUCGGGGGUGUUAUAUGAAUGACCCUCCGGGCACUUAUAGAGAAAUCAUAAGUAUUUGGGUUCCGGGGGGAGUAUGGUCGCAAGGCUGAAACUUAAAGGAAUUGACGGAAGGGCACAACAAGGAGUGGAACUUGCGGUUUAAUUUGACCCAACACGGGAAAACUUACCAGGUCCAGACACAGUAAGGAUUGACAGAUUGAGAGCUCUUUCUUGAUUUUGUGGUUGGUGGUGCAUGGCCGUUUCUAGUUGGUGGAGUGAUUUGUCUGGUUAAUUCCGUUAACGAAUGAGACCUUAACCUAUUAAAUAGUUACACGAACCUGGAUUUAUCCUUUUGUUCGUGGAUAACUUCUUAGAGGGACUCUUCACGUAAAGAGUGAAUGGAAGUUUGAGGCAAAAACAGGUCUGUGAUGCCCUUAGAUGUUCUGGGCUACACGCGUGUUACACUGAUAUCUUCAACAAGCAUUCUUUCUCCUUACUCGAUGGAGUUGGGCAAUCUUUUAAAAUGAUAUCGUGAUGGGGAUAGAUCAUUGUAAUUAUUGGUCUUGAACGAGGAAUUCCUAGUAAGGGUAAGUCAUCAACUUGCCCUGAUACGUCCCUGCCCUUUGUACACACCGCCCGUCGCUCCUACCGAUGAAUGGUCCGGUGAGGAUUUAGGAGGACCGCAGUUACUGGUGUCAAAGCCAUUCUGUUGUUUGUCCGAAUUCAUUCAAACCUUAUCAUUUAAAGGAAGGAGAAGUCGUAACAAGGU